rnacentral:rRNA from 1 species
AUUGAACGCUGGCGGCAGGCCUAACACAUGCAAGUCGAGCGAGCGGCGGACGGGUGAGUAAUGUAUGGGGACUGCCCGAUCGAGGGGGAUAACUACUGGAAACGGUGGCUAAUACCGCAUACUAUCGGAUAACCCAUAUGGGAUUAGCUAGUAGGUGGGGUAAAGGCUCACCUAGGCGACGAUCUCUAGCUGGCCUGAGAGGAUGAUCAGCCACACUGGGACUGAGACACGGCCCAGACUCCUACGGAGGCAGCAGUGGGGAAUAUUGGACAAUGGGCGCAAGCCUGAUGCAGCAAUGCCGCGUGUAUGAAGAAGGUCUUAGGGUCGUAAAGUACUUUCAGUGGGGAAGCGUUACCCGCCGAAGAAGCACCGGCUAACUACGUGCCAGCCGCCGCGGUAAUUC